rnacentral:snRNA from 1 species
CGCUUUGUGCAACGGCAGUAUCGUAGCCAAUGAGGCUUAUCCAAGGCAUGAUUAUUGCUAAUUGAAACAAACUGGCAUGGUCAGGGUUGACAUGGAGGCUCCUGCUGGCACUUUGUGGCCUUUCUGUGGC